rnacentral:rRNA from 1 species
CCCGCACAAGCGGUGGAGUAUGUGGUUUAAUUCGAUGCAACGCGAAGAACCUUACCAGGGAUUGACAUCCUACGAAUCUCCUUGAAAGGGGAGAGUGCCUUCGGGAACGUAGAGACAGGUGGUGCAUGGCUGUCGUCAGCUCGUGUCGUGAGAUGUUGGGUUAAGUCCCGCAACGAGCGCAACCCUCGUCCUUAGUUGCCAUCAUUAAGUUGGGCACUUUAAGGAGACUGCCGGUGACAAACCGGAGGAAGGUGGGGAUGACGUCAAGUCAUCAUGCCCCUUACAUCCUGGGCUACACACGUACUACAAUGCAACGGACAAAGGGCAGCCAACUAGCGAUAGUGCGCAAAUCCCAUAAACCGUUGCUCAGUUCAGAUUGCAGGCUGCAACUCGCCUGCAUGAAGGCGGAAUCGCUAGUAAUCGCAGGUCAGCAUACUGCGGUGAAUACGUUCCCGGGCCUUGUACACACCGCCCGUCACACCAUGGAAGUUGGCCACGCCCGAAGUCGUUACCCCAACCGUUUACGGAGGGGGACGCCGAAGGCAGGGCUGAUGACUGGGGUGAAGUCGUAACAAGGUAACC